AGCAUGGCCCCUCCACCUCCUCCAGAGGGGGAUGCCGGCUCCCACUGAGCUCAGGGUCAUUAAGGCAGGAGCUGUCGCUGCUUUUUUCCAAGAGAAGAAGGUGGAGUUCAUCUUUUCACUUCAGAGAGACAUUGCAAAGAGCUGCCCACUAGAACUUCCGGGGUUACCAGCUAGAACUUCCGGGGUCGCCAGCCAGUGUGAGACCCUUUCUGACCAACUCAGGAGAGGGAAUUAUGUUCAUCCUAUAACUCAAAAUGCAACCGGAAGUGAACUGCGUCACUUGUAGCAUUUCACAGCUGGGUUGCCCAAGGUUCUUCAAAGUGUGGUGAAUGUUUUGGAACUGCUGUUGGCUCCCCAAAGACACAGGAGCUGCACACUCUAGGAGUCUUGGACCUGGCACAGCUGUAGUGCGAGCCGCCCCUCGACGUCACGGUCACAGACUUCAUGGACCACUCAGAAGUGCUACUGCUACCCCUCCACCCCCAGCCCCAGCUCGGAUCCAGCAAGCCAGAGCCCAGUCCCGAAGCACGGGUGGCGGAGCUAGUCUCCAGGCAAGGAUCCCUCCAUGCUUCCGCUGCGGCCGUCGCCCCCGCCCUGGCGGCGUGAUCCUCCUACCUGCCUGUCCCGAAGCGACCAGCAGAAGUAUCAGCGGGGGCAGCAGCCCCGGCAGCGAGGGGCAGCUGGGCGCCAGGGUCCCGGGAGCGCGCAUGGGCAAUCAGCUCCGGUCACAUCUCGGGGAACGCGGCGUGACCUCUGCAGCGCUCCUCUCCAGCGGGAUUGAGGGCGAUGGGUCCAGAGGCAGCCGAUCACACACGGCUUCCCCGCAAGGUGUCCCUGUACGCAAGGACAACUUCCUGGGUUUCAGUUCCGAAUCCGCAGGCUUCAAGGACUGAUGGAGAUCGAAGCAGUGUUCAUCAGAGGGACGGGCCCAUCCACGCUUAGAGGAGUCAGCGACACAGGUGAAAGUGACCCUCAAAGGAGUGCCGAUUGCCUGACUCUGCCUGUGGUUGACUCCAGGAUUCAUGAACACCACCUCGGGAGAGCUCCUCGACCCCAGAGACACCGCCACCCUCGAGGAGGAGGCUGCCUGCUAUUCUAAGCCUGCUCCCCCUUCCCUUAUGGGCCAAAGUCGUUUAUGGUGGGUGCACACAGCGACUCCCAUGAAAGAUGGAUCACCCUGACUGCAGGCCAGACUCCACUGAUGCCUGGAUGCAGUCUUUCUGCGGUUUGCCUCACCUUGGACGGCUAGCAGCCAACUCAAACAAAAUGGCCAAGAGAAUUCCAGAUCCUGACAGUGACCCAAAAUCUCCAAAAGAAGAUUACAGGACACCUCGAUGUCUAUACAACGCUGACCAGGGGGCAGAAUGCCCCAAUGGACACCUGCUGCCAGGACCUGGCCCAGACUGUGCACAAGUGACAGGACAUUGGGGAACUGAUUGUACCCCUUUUGCCUAGACAAAAUAAGAUGCAUUGGAGCAUCGGUUGCUGACUACAGACUGAUCCUAAAGACUAAGAGCUCUAGACUUGCUGUGGAUAUAAACCAGUCCAGCCCAAGUGAACGCUCCCUGUUUCUUCAACAGAGUCUGCCAACAAGAUGCUUCAGAUAAAUCCCAUUCUCAGAAACAGACAGACUCGCAUAGAACUGGUAUUUCUUGGAAAGCAGUUUUGGGAAAGACAGAACACUGGCUCACCAAGUUUAUUCUCGUGUAUCAAUGGAGAGCAGCAAAAUCUUCCUUUACAUGUAGCAUGGCAGAAGAAAUAGUGGUCAGUGAUUAAGAUGUCACCAUCAGCCACAGAUAGGUAAGUUCACAAGGACAAAGUCAUUGAGAGUUGUCGGUCACUAUGAUUUCACACAGCAUGGUGAAGAUGGCUUCUUGUGAGACAAAGAAUGACCUUGAAUCCUGAUCCUCCUGCCUCCACUUCCUAGUGCUAGGAUUGCAGGUAUGCACCACUAUGACCAGAGUUUGUUGAUGGAAUGGAGAGAGUGUCACAUGCUAAGUAAACAUAUCCUAACCGAUCUACAUACCCAGUGCUCUGGUGAAGUUUUUGUACAUACCAUGAGAUUUGGCAGUAGAAAUUCACUACAGGCUCUUUCAGGACCAGUUAUGUAAUGACAGAACUGUUUGAAUUUCAUCCUUUCUGUCCUAUGAAGUCGCUGUGAAAAAAUUCCUUUAAUUUUCAUUUGCUUUGAUUCUCGUGAGCUCGUACUAUUUCCAGUCUUCUCUUUCAGGGAAGGGGUGACCAGGUAAAGAUGUAGUUUUGGUGGAGAUGAGUAAAAGUAGAAUGUGACAGAAUGCUGUGUGAUUUCACAGCUUUGUAAAACACAUGGACCAGUCCGAAUUGACCUGCAGAGAUUUCCUUCUGUCCAUUUUAAUAUCGCUUUCCUAAUGGUCCUAGCUGCUUUGUUCAGGGGGAUUUUAUAAUGUCUUUUCAGGUGCUAACACACUUUGGAAUUCCUAGCCUACUUCUUUAUCAUAAUUUGUGAUAGAUGUUAAAGGUAUAUGUAGUUAUACUUUUUUCUUACAGUGAUAACUGAAGAUUUUUAUUAAUUACUUUCCUUUUGGAAGCUAGGUUCAUAAAUCUACCUUCAUCAUCACUGUUUAACUUGUUGGCUAAACAGUAAAAAAUAUUUUUAGGAGAUGGAGAUGUUUUUCAGAGUGAUGGAUUCUUUUUUAAUUAAAAAGGGGUUCAAGUUCAUGCCCUAGAGGAGAGAGAAAAGAUUUCUGAGACUGUAGAGUUAUAAGGAAUAGGUUUUAACUGGCAUGCUAUAAUUUAAACUAAAAUUUUCUUUAUUUUUACUUAUGUAUCUUUAUCCCUGUGUGUAUGACACCUGUAUGCAUGUUCCUAAAGAGGUCAGAAGAAUGUGUUGGAUCUCCUGGAGCUGGAAUUACAGGCAACUGUGAGCUACUUCUCAUGGGUGCUAAAAAUCAAACUUGGGUCAUCUGGAAGAACAGCAGUCAUUCUUGAAUAUUGAGCCAUCUCUCCAGUCCCAUAAAGCCAUCUUUAAGUACUACUAAAUCAAAAGCUUUCAGUUAUAAUAUUGUUAUAAAGAAAUGUAGAUCCAUUUA